rnacentral:rRNA from 1 species
UACAGAGGUCCCGAGCGUUGUUCGGAUUCAUUGGGCGUAAAGGGUGCGUAGGCGGUUGGGUAAGUCAGAUGUGAAAUUCCAGGGCUCAACCUUGGAACUGCAUUUGAUACUGCCUGACUAGAGUACUGGAGAGGAGACUGGAAUUCACGGUGUAGCAGUGAAAUGCGUAGAUAUCGUGAGGAAGACCAGUGGCGAAGGCGAGUCUCUGGACAGUUACUGACGCUGAUGCACGAAGGCUAGGGGAGCAAACGGGAUUAGAUACCCCGGUAGUCCUAGCAGUAAACGGUGCACGUUUGGUGUGGGAGGAAUCGACCCCUUCCGUGCCGGAGCUAACGCGUUAAACGUGCCGCCUGGGGAGUACGGUCGCAAGAUUA